rnacentral:rRNA from 1 species
AUAGAACGCUGGCGGCAUGCCUUACACAUGCAAGUCGAACGGCAGCACGGGUGCUUGCACCUGGUGGCGAGUGGCGAACGGGUGAGUAAUAUAUCGGAACGUACCUUAUUGUGGGGGAUAACGCAGCGAAAGCUGUGCUAAUACCGCAUAAUCCCUAAGGGGGAAAGCGGGGGACCGUAAGGCCUCGCGCAAUUAGAGCGGCCGAUACCUGAUUAGCUAGUUGGUGAGGUAAAGGCUAACCAAGGCAACGAUCAGUAGCUGGUCUGAGAGGACGAUCAGCCACACUGGGACUGAGACACGGCCCAGACUCCUACGGGAGGCAGCAGUGGGGAAUUUUGGACAAUGGGGGCAACCCUGAUCCAGCAAUGCCGCGUGAGUGAAGAAGGCCUUCGGGUUGUAAAGCUCUUUUGUCAGGGAAGAAACAGCAGCUCUAACACAGUUUGCGAAUGACGGUACCUGAAGAAUAAGCACCGGCUAACUACGUGCCAGCCGCCGCAGUAA